UCCGUAGGCGGUGUAGCAAGUCGAUAGUGAAAUCUCUGGGCUUAACUCAGAGGCUGCUAACGAAACUGCUAUGCUAGAGUGUGAGAGAGGCGAGUGGAAUUACGGGUGUAGCGGUGAAAUGCGUAGAUAUCCGUAGGAACAUCCGAGGCGAAGGCGGCUCGCUGGAUCACAACUGACGCUGAGGGACGAAAGCUAGGGGAGCAAACAGGAUUAGAUACCCUGGUAGUCCUAGCCCUAAACCAUCAGGACUUGGGGUUUGCCCUGUACGGGGCAAGUCCCGUAGCUAACGCGUUAAGUCCUGCGCCUGGGGAGUACGGUCGCAAGGCUGAG
rnacentral:rRNA from 1 species